rnacentral:rRNA from 1 species
GUGAGGAAUAUUGGUCAAUGGACGGAAGUCUGAACCAGCCAUGCCGCGUGAAGGAUGAAGGCGUUCUGCGUUGUAAACUUCUUUUAUCAGAGAAGAAACCACUGAUUUCUAUUAGUGUUGACGGUAUCUGAUGAAUAAGCACCGGCUAACUCCGUGCCAGCAGCCGCGGUAAUACGGAGGGUGCAAGCGUUAUCCGGAUUUACUGGGUUUAAAGGGUGUGUAGGCGGGCUAUUAAGUCAGGGGUGAAAUCCCGGGGCUCAACCUCGGAACUGCCUUAGAUACUAUUAGUCUUAAAGUAUGUUGAGGUUGGCGGAAUAUAACAUGUAGCGGUGAAAUGCAUAGAUAUGUUAUAGAACACCGAUUGCGAAGGCAGCUGGCUAAACAUAUAUUGACGCUGAGGCACGAAAGCGUGGGUAGCGAACAGGAUUAGAUACCCGGGUAGUCC